ensembl:misc_RNA Metazoa_SRP Metazoan signal recognition particle RNA
GCCGGGUGUGGUGGUGCAUGCCUGUAAUCCCAGCUACUCAGGAGGCUGAGGCAGGAGAAUUGCUUGAACCCAGGAGGCAGAGGUUGCAGUGAGCUGAGAUUGUGCCACUGUACUCCAGCCUGGGCAACAGAGCGAGACUCAGUCUCAA